AGUCGAGCGGUAACAGAUCCAGCUUGCUGGAUGCUGACGAGCGGCGGACGGGUGAGUAAUGCAUAGGAAUUUACCCGAUAGUGGGGGAUAACCUGGGGAAACCCAGGCUAAUACCGCAUACGUCCUACGGGAGAAAGGGGGCUUCGGCUCCCGCUAUCGGAUGAGCCUAUGCCGGAUUAGCUGGUUGGUGAGGUAAUGGCUCACCAAGGCGACGAUCCGUAGCUGGUCUGAGAGGAUGAUCAGCCACAUCGGGACUGAGACACGGCCCGAACUCCUACGGGAGGCAGCAGUGGGGAAUAUUGGACAAUGGGCGCAAGCCUGAUCCAGCCAUGCCGCGUGUGUGAAGAAGGCCCUCGGGUUGUAAAGCACUUUCAGCGAGGAAGAACGCCUGGCGGUUAAUACCCGCCAGGAAAGACAUCACUCGCAGAAGAAGCACCGGCUAACUCCGUGCCAGC
rnacentral:rRNA from 1 species